CCUACGGGUGGCUGCAGUGGGGAAUAUUGGACAAUGGGGGAAACCCUGAUCCAGCAAUGCCGCGUGUGUGAAGAAGGCCUGCGGGUUGUAAAGCACUUUCGGUUGGGAAGAAAAGUUUGGCGCCAAUACCGCCGAACCUUGACGUUACUGACAGAAGAAGCACCGGCUAACUCUGUGCCAGCAGCCGCGGUAAUACAGAGGGUGCAAGCGUUCAUCGGAAUCACUUGGCGUAAAGCGUACGUAGGUGGUCAAAACCCCGGGCUUAACCUGGGAACUGCAUUCGGUACUACAUGGCUAGAGUAUGGUAGAGGGAAGUGGAAUUUCCGGGGUAGGGGUGAAAUGCGUAGAUAUCGGAAGGAACACCAAUGGCGAAGGCAGCUUCCUGGACUAAGACUGACACUGAGGCACGAAAGCGUGGGUAGCAAACAGGAUUAGAUACCCCCAGUAGUC
rnacentral:rRNA from 1 species